rnacentral:rRNA from 1 species
GACGUAGGGCGCGAGCGUUGUCCGGAUUUAUUGGGCGUAAAGAGCUCGUAGGCGGCUUGUUACGUCGGAUGUGAAAACCCAUGGCUCAACUGUGGGCUUGCAUCCGAUACGGGCAGGCUAGAGUUCGGUAGGGGAGACUGGAAUUCCUGGUGUAGCGGUGAAAUGCGCAGAUAUCAGGAGGAACACCGGUGGCGAAGGCGGGUCUCUGGGCCGAUACUGACGCUGAGGAGCGAAAGCGUGGGGAGCGAACAGG